rnacentral:rRNA from 1 species
CUACGGGAGGCACCAGUGGGGAAUAUUGCACAAUGGAGGAAACUCUGAUGCAGCAACGCCGCGUGGAGGAUGACACUUUUCGGAGCGUAAACUCCUUUUAUAUAGGAAGAAGAUGACGGUACUAUAUGAAUAAGCGCCGGCUAACUCCGUGCCAGCAGCCGCGGUAAUACGGAGGGCGAAAGCGUUACUCGGAAUCACUGGGCGUAAAGAGCGUGUAGGCGGAUUAAAAAGUCAGAAGUGAAAUCCUAUAGCUUAACUAUAGAACUGCUUCUGAAACUCUUAAUCUAGAAUAUGGGAGAGGUAGAUGGAAUUUCUGGUGUAGGGGUAAAAUCCGUAGAGAUCAGAAGGAAUACCGAUUGCGAAGGCGAUCUACUAGAACAUUAUUGACGCUGAGACGCGAAAGCGUGGGGAGCAAACAGGAUUAGAUACCCGUGUAGUC